rnacentral:misc_RNA from 1 species
UCCGGCUUGUCACCGGCAGUCUCGCAUGAGUGCCCAACUGAAUGCUGGCAACAUACGAUAAGGGUUGCGCUCGUUGCGGGACUUAACCCAACAUCUCACGACACGAGCUGACGACAGCCAUGCAGCACCUGUGCUCCUCCCAGCCGAACUGAAAACAAUCAUCUCUGAAAGUCCUAAAGGGCAUGUCAAGUGUGGGUAAGGUUCUUCGCGUUGCUUCGAAUUAAACAACAUGCUCCACCGCUUGUGCGGGUCCCCGUCAAUUCCUUUGAGUUUUAAUCUUGCGACCGUACUCCCCAGGCGGUGUGCUUAAAGCGUUAGCUGCGUCACCGAACCCUAAAGGGCCCGACAACUAGCACACAUCGUUUAGGGCGUGGACUAC